CCCUUCGGGGCGAAGAUAAGACGGAUUAGCGGCGGACGGGUGAGUAACACGUGAGUAACCUGCCUUUUACACAGGGAUAGCCUCGGGAAACCGGGAUUAAAACCUGAUGAAACUAUCAAAUCACAUGAUUAAGAAAGUUAAAACUCCGGUGGUAAAAGAUGGACUCGCGUCCCAUUAGCUAGUUGGUGAAGGUAACGGCCCACCAAGGCAACGAUGGGUAGCCGGCCUGAGAGGGUGAACGGCCACAUUGGAACUGAGAAACGGUCCAAACUCCUACGGGAGGCAGCAGGC
rnacentral:rRNA from 1 species